CGAUGCUCUUCACAGCACAAGGAGAGACUGCCAGUACAGAAGGACAUGAAAUAUGUUACACUCUUCUUCAACUCAUUUUCAGCUCAUAGUCAAGGAAACUUUUCUUUUGGGCUAUUGACAGCUUCUAACAAUAAGUAUUGUUUCUGUGAACAAAAUCUGGAAUAUAUUUGUUUCUCUCUACCUGAUUUCUCCAGAAUAUGAAAACUAUUUGAUAUGAGACUUCACAACCUGCUAAAAUGAGCUUUCCUAAUAACUCAGGAUCUACCCAUCUAAGAAUAAACCAUCC